UUUUUAUAGUUGGUGUGAUGGAGGAUGCUGGGCAUAGAUGGAUGUUGGUUUGAGAUAGCUGAGAAUGGUAGAAGUUGUAGCGGGAUUUACUUUCAAAUAAUGAUAAAUAAACAUUUAAUUGAGACAGUGGUUGUUGUUUACUGCAUCUGGUUUGACAUUUGACUUUACUAUUUGUGCCACAGAUAACAUAACGAUAAGGAUGCUCAACUUCAUAUUGUAUAAUUCAUCCGAAUGAAUUGUGGGUGGUAGUUUCUGUUCUAUGGUAGAUAUAAGAAGCUUAAAUUGAAAAGAAUCUCCACAAAUAUAAGUAUGAGUAGGGGAAUUCCACACACACACAUUGAUUACCGAAAAGAACAACUAGAUAGCGGAUAUUAGAUCGGAUGAUGCUUAGCGUGUGUGAGGAAGAAUGGAAAAAUAAAUGAGAGUCAUGGUGGGGGUGGAUAACUUGGUUAUCUCCUUUGUCGAGGAGAAUUGAAAUGUCAUUUGACAAGUGAAAACCAAAGGUGACCGUUCAGGUUACAACAUCGAGGAAUAACCAUGUUCCUGAUGUAGAAAAAUAAAAAGAGAUUUAAAGAUUUGAUCUUUGUUGCGUUUUUUUUGUGAAGUUCAGACAGAGGGAAGGAUUUUCAAAUAAAUGAUGGAUUAAAUACUGGAAUAUCCCAAUUCUCAAUGACUGUGAAAGGCGGUCCCGGUUACCUGUGAAGUACUGGGACCGCCACACCGUUAAACAUCAUGCUGGAAAAGCCCACCAAUGUUUCAGCCACAGAUCCAAGAAAAUUUUCAAUAAAUGUCAGAAUAAGGGGAUAACACGUUAUUGAUUCGAUUAUGGUGAAGCCCAAAAGAAACGAAAUCCCGACCUGCCUUAAAGAACCCCAACUAUGAAGAGUUGAACGCGAGCUAUCAGGGUGUCUUAGUAAAAGGCAUUGAAAGUAUUCUGUAAGCCAGACGGCGGUGUGUGGCAAAAAUUAAUCCAGUGUAUAAGAAACAAAAGUAAUCUAACUAGUAACGAAGACAAAUCUGCGUUUAUAUAUAAAUAUAUAUAUAAAUACCUACGUAAAUUAAGAAACAAAAUUUUGAAGAUACUAUUUAUGUUAAAAAUUGUUAAAUGUGUGUUUUGUCCAUUAUAACGGCAUUGAAGUUUACUUUUGCUAAAAUGUUGUUUAAUUUUUUUUUUCUUCCCUUUAAAUAUAUCUAAAUUUUGAAUUAAUGAUUUCUGUAAGUGAUAUAGGUUGUUUCCUCCGUGUUCUAGUCGCGUUCCAAUCGGUUAUUUUUGUUACUACUCUGAUAACUAUCCACCUCCAACGAGCUCGAUGCAGGUAGGGACUACGAGUUAGCGCUUUCCUUUAUAAUUUGAUUAAGCAUCAAAAAGGGUGUUACACUUUAUUUCUUUUGCCCGGUGGGAAACUGACCAAGGUCACAUUGCUUUUGAUUUGAUUUUUUUUGUUGGUUAAUUUUAAUUUCCAAAAUACAUUACCUGUAAAAUGUUCAUGUAAUAUUCUUAUUUAAAGUUAUUGAAUAAAAACAACUUCAAACGCCGAAUAAUUUAAAUGAAAA